UGGAAUCGAACCUGGGACCCUUGAGUCCGCAGGCCGACACUCUAUCCACUGAGCCAAACCAGUUAGGGCAAAAUGACUUAUUGAAGACGACAUUUACAUGCUUGGAAAAGACCAAGACAAUGUUUAGAUUCUGGGAGAGCAUAUAAGACAGUUUUCCCAGAGACACAAGGCUUAGGAAGAAGUCCUUGCCAGGUUUUGAAAUGAUGACAUGAGGCAAGGGAAUUCCAAUCUGGGACAUCCUGUGCACAGCUUGAGGAUGG